CCAACAGUCCUUUUCAGGACUACACACCCUAAGAGCAUUUUUUUUU
rfam:Strongylocentrotus purpuratus Contig20767_fixed, whole genome shotgun sequence.